GUUGGUUCAUUGUCGAUGUCGUUUGUAGUCUGUUGUCUCACAUCAUGUUUCUUUGUCCAAUCUUGUAGUGAAUGAACCAACCACAAAAGGACCCAGCAAAAAUCACACGGCAUCGCCCUGGACGCCGCCAGUCUGCCUCCCAGCGCCCUCAGCCUGCCAACCAGACCUACCUUUUUUCUAUUCUGAUUUUUGGGAUUGUGAAGAUGGACCCGAUUUAAUUAACCUCUUUUCCAGUUCUGACUCUGACACCAAUUUAGAUUUCUUUCACUAGUUUUUUGCGUCCCAGUCAAUUUUUGUCACGUUUUCCCUUUUCCGAUCCCUGCUAGUCCAAGCCCAAAUCAGUUCGCACUGAACCUUGCCCUUUACUUGGGCACCUGUUUGGCCAUCGAUAAGGGACCUCCGUGUGGUGGCCAACGGAGGCACCCAAGUAAAGGUCAAGGUUCGUCAUUAAGCUCCCGUUUCUAAGCCACGUAAUUUGUCACCCAUUUCCACACCUCGUUCCAUGCCUCCGACCAAGUCACAUCCAUCCAAACCUGCCCCCAAGUCACCUCAUUCCAUGCCUAUUUUAUCACCUCUUCUCGUACCACUCGUGUUUCCUAGUUCACCUUCCCUAGUUCCUUUGCACUCUGCCCCUCUUGUUUCCUGUGUUGCCAAACCUCUACGGCGGCAGGCUGAAAGAGCGAAUGCAGACCCUAUGCCUGUUCCCCGGCGGCUGCAGCAGGCACCUGUUCCUGGUCCCGGCAGCUGCAGGCUCUAGCGGCAUACACUGUGUGGCCGUCACCCAACCUUGCUCCGGCGUUGCAGCCGCAGGCACCCGUUCCUGCUCCCCGGCGGCUGCAGCAGGUUCCCGUUCUUGCUUCCCGGCAACUGCAGGCUCCAGCGGCGUACAUUGUGCGGCCGCCACCCAAACUUGCUCUGGCAAUGCUCGUCC